rnacentral:misc_RNA from 1 species
AGUUCAACCUGAAUUCCAUCCACUAACAUGAACACCAAGGUCCUCAUCCUCCUCGGCCUGGCAGCCAUCGUUGCUGCCGACAGCCGUGAAACCUAUGCUUACCGCGCACCCAGGGCAUCCUCUGAGGAAUCCUACGAGUCCACCGAGGCCAAGUACAACUUCAACUGGGCCGUCAGCGAUGACUCCUCAAC